ACUCUCUCUCUUGAGUCAAGACUUAUUGACAAUUUUGACUUGGAAAAUCUAGGGGCUAGCCCAGACUUAACAGUACUAUUACCAUGGAGAAUGAGUGAUAUCACUGAAAAAGUCUCUGUGUAGGUCCCUGUGUGGUUACUCAGUCAGUCUUUGUUUGAUCAAAUUGAGCAAAGGAUGAUGUCACAGUAGAUUCACAGUAAGAGAUACCACAGUCACACCACUGUUAUGAGAGGCUAUUUAUACAGAAAAGAGGAUCUCUGUGAAGCUAGAAAAUGCAAAUGUGUGAGACCCUUGGCUAAUGAAAGAGCUGCAAUUACAUUGUAAUUCUGAGAGUGAGACACAUGGCUAUCAAGCUCAGAUGGAGAAAUCAGUUGCAAUUCUCCAGGAAGUGGUAGUGUGAGAUUAUUUUAAUGGCAGGCACCAAGGAAUGAAUAUGGAAUCUUCAGCAUGCAGGGUAAGUGCUUUAUUGUGG
rnacentral:lncRNA from 1 species